ACCCUGCAGCUCUGGGAAAGGAGCCCCAGCCCUGAGAUUCCCAGGUGUUUCCAUUCGGUGAUCAGCACUGAACACAGAACUCACCAUGGAGUUUGGACUGAGCUGGGUUUUCCUUGUUGCUAUUUUAAAAGGUGUCCAGUGUGAAGUGCAGCUGGUGGAGUCUGGGGGAGUCGUGGUACAGCCUGGGGGGUCCCUGAGACUCUCCUGUGCAGCCUCUGGAUUCACCUUUGAUGAUUAUGCCAUGCACUGGGUCCGUCAAGCUCCGGGGAAGGGUCUGGAGUGGGUCUCUCUUAUUAGUUGGGAUGGUGGUAGCACCUACUAUGCAGACUCUGUGAAGGGUCGAUUCACCAUCUCCAGAGACAACAGCAAAAACUCCCUGUAUCUGCAAAUGAACAGUCUGAGAGCUGAGGACACCGCCUUGUAUUACUGUGCAAAAGAUACACAGUGAGGAGAAGUCAGUGAG